UACGUAGGGUGCAAGCGUUGUCCGGAAUUAUUGGGCGUAAAGAGCUCGUAGGCGGUCUGUCGCGUCGGCUGUGAAAACCCGAGGCUCAACCUCGGGCCUGCAGUCGAUACGGGCAAACUAGAGUACUGCAGGGGAGACUGGAAUUCCUGGUGUAGCGGUGGAAUGCGCAGAUAUCAGGAGGAACACCGGUGGCGAAGGCGGGUCUCUGGGCAGUAACUGACGCUGAGAAGCGAAAGCGUGGGGAGCGAACAGG
rnacentral:rRNA from 1 species